rnacentral:rRNA from 1 species
UACGGAGGAUGCGAGCGUUAUCCGGAUUUAUUGGGUUUAAAGGGUGCGCAGGCGGCGUGUCAAGCAAGCGGUAAAAUAGCGGGGCUCAACCCCGUCGUGCCGUUGAAACUGACACCCUUGAGUGAGCGAGAAGUAUGCGGAAUGCGUGGUGUAGCGGUGAAAUGCAUAGAUAUCACGCAGAACUCCGAUUGCGAAGGCAGCAUACCGGCGCUCAACUGACGCUCAUGCACGAAAGCGUGGGUAUCGAACAGG